rnacentral:rRNA from 1 species
GAUGAACGCUGGCGGCGUGCCUAAUACAUGCAAGUCGAGCGAACAGACGAGGAGCUUGCUCCGCUUACGUUAGGGGCGGACGGGUGAUUAACACGAAGAUAACCGACCUAUAAGACUGGGAUAACUUCGGGAGACCGGAGACAAUACCGGAUAAGAUAUUGAACCGCAGGGUUCAAUGGACCUAGAGCUAUUUGCUGACCCUAAGUGGUAGUUCCGCGCCGGAUUAGCUAGUUCGUAAGGUAACGGCUUACCAAGGCUACGAUGCGUAGCCGACCUGAGAGGGUGAUCGGCCACACUGGAACUGAGACACGGUCCAGACUCCUACGGGAGGCAGCAGUAGGGAAUCUUCCGCAAUGGGCGAAAGCCUGACGCAGCAACGCCGCGUGAGUGAUGAAGGUCUUCGGAUCGUAAAACUCUGUUAUUAGGGAAGAACAAAUGUGUAAGUAACUAUGCACGUCUUGACGGUACCUAAUCAGAAAGCCACGGCUAACUACGUG